CCUGGCAGGUGAUCUAUGGGAGCCCUUAGUAAGCACAGAUCUCACCCCCAGACUCAAUUUAACCCCAGAGCUAAAUCACAGCAUCCCUGUGGGCUCCACCCAACUUCUGCUCACUCACCUCUGGGGAUGGAGUGCUCACCUCUUUCUAGAAUUCUUCAGUCAGCACCUACUGGGUGCUAGCCUCUGUGCUGGGUGCUGGGUGCUGGGUGCAGCAGCAGGAAAGCUGAGGCUUCUGCCCCCGAAACAAGCACCGGACAUUCUAGGUCAGCUGGGUCCCCUCCGGGUGGCUCAGCUCUUGGCAACCUUCACCCCUGGAUACGUGAGGACAUGGAGAACUAUUCCCAAUGCAUUAAGUGAGAAAAGCAGGUCACCACAGGGAUGCAGCAAGACUAUGAUGCCACUUCGGUCUUAAAAAAAAAUCUGUAACUGCCUGGUUCUGGAGCAACUGGGCCCAAAAUGUGACCCGGCCAUCGGCAGGUGGUAAAGGUCCCAGGGGAGCCUUAUUUUCCUGAGCCUCUUGUCUAUUUGCUGAAUUUUCCACAAUGAACGUAUAUUAUUCGUCACUAGGGGGGAACUCUGCCAAUUGACGCCUCCUCUUGGCUGGGCUGAAGUCUGCGUCCCCGUUUGUGUCCUGCUUUCUGGAGCACCACAGAGCAAGUGAGAGAACUUG